AGCCCCACCUUCUGUCAGGUCCACAGUGGCAUUAGAUUCUCAUAAGAGCACGAAUCCUAUUGUGAACUGUUCAUGCAAGGGAUCUAGGUUGUGUGUUCCUUAUGAGAGUCUAACUAAUGCUUGAUGAUCUGAGGUGGAACAGCUUCAUCCCAAAACCAUUUCCUCCCCUGCCCCCUGGUCCUUGGAAAAAUUGUCUUCCAGGAAACCAGUCCCCGGUGCCGAAAAGCCUGGGGACUGCUGAAGUAAAGAAAGUCACUUUCUGACAGGCCCAGGAAUCUCAAGUUAUUUUAGGACCCUGAGAAGAGAGAAAUUCACCCAAAUUCAUACAGAAAUGGGAGUCUUGCCAUCUUGCCCAGGCUCAUUUCAAACUCCUGGGCACAAGGGAUCCUUCAUCUUGGCAUCCUGAACUGCUGGGAUUAAAGGCGCAGUGGCUCGUAUCUGUACGACCAGCUACUUGGGAGACUGAGGAGGGAAUACCCCUUGAGUCCAGGAGUUCCGAUCAGAUUGAGCAAUAUAGCGAGACCGCGUCUCAAAACAAAAUAAACAAGAAAAAAUUUAAUUUGUAUUUAUGGGAGUUUCACUCUCGUUGCCCAGGCUGGAGUGCAAUGGUGAGAUCUCGGCUCACCCGCAACCUCUGCCACCUGGGUUCAAGCGAUUCUCCUGCCUCAGCAGCCCGAGUAGCUGGGAUUACAGGCACGCACCACCACGCCUGGCUAAUUUUGUAUUUUUAGUAGAGAUGGGGUUUUUCCAUGUCAGUCAGGCUGGCAUCCAACUCCCGACCUCAGGUGAUCCACCCGCCUCAGCAUCCCAAAGUGCUGGGAUUACAGGUGUGAACCACGGCGCCUGGCCUUAUUAAUACAUUUCUGUCUAUUUUCUGGCAUUCUUUGUAGUUUCUCUUUGGUAAAUGCUGUUGCACUGUUUUUCAUUUUUAAUUUAUAUUUUUUCUGGUAUCAUUUGUCCAUUCUUUUACUGUUA